rnacentral:piRNA from 1 species
UGAUUCUCAGGCUUUGCUGAAGAUGUAGAU